rnacentral:rRNA from 1 species
GGAGCUUGCUCCUUGAUUCAGCGGCGGACGGGUGAGUAAUGCCUAGGAAUCUGCCUGGUAGUGGGGGACAACGUUUCGAAAGGAACGCUAAUACCGCAUACGUCCUACGGGAGAAAGCAGGGGACCUUCGGGCCUUGCGCUAUCAGAUGAGCCUAGGUCGGAUUAGCUAGUUGGUGGGGUAAUGGCUCACCAAGGCGACGAUCCGUAACUGGUCUGAGAGGAUGAUCAGUCACACUGGAACUGAGACACGGUCCAGACUCCUACGGGAGGCAGCAGUGGGGAAUAUUGGACA